CCGCGUCAGCAAGGGACAGCCCUGCCCUCGUGGCUCUGGUUGUAUAAUGCGGGCGCAAUAGCGUAGAGACGUACAUUGUUGCUCGCGAUACAAUACUGUGGUAUUGCGAGUGUCAAGUACAUCCCACAUUU
rnacentral:snoRNA from 1 species